UUUGUUUAAUAAAAUCAGGUAUUACGUGUUUUCUCUGGUAAUCCGCAUUCAAUAAAACGUGCCAUAAUUGGUAAUAGUCGCAUUCGACCCCCUCCGAGUUCACUAUGUAAUACUAAACCUACUUCGCUUAUGCAUUUUCGCAUACGUGUCACGUAUCGAUGACUCAAUCUGCUGUACAUGAACUCGGGAGCGUGUGUAUCUUGUAGAGAUACAGGGAACUCGUAAAACUUCGUUUUAUGUUGACCGCAGCACCGGUUUGCACAUUAAUCACGACGAUGGGUGUUACUUUAGAGCAUGAUCAAGGAAAAUUUUAGAAUCUCACCUGGGUGCGUUACGCCACUGCGUGGGACGGAGUACGAUGCAUUCGAGCGAUGCACCAAGGUCGAGGCCACCUAUGCUAUGCCACACUACUUUAGGGAAACAUCUCGGAUCAGAUGCACAUACCUGCAUAAAUGGAUGUGCGUGCAUACGCGUUGCACGUAACGCUGUGUGCCAGAUUGCGUUAAGCGCGAAAACUUAUAUUUACUCGCGUGGCUCGGGAAUAAUAAUAAUAAUCGUUUACUUGAUGAUCCCAACUUUCCAGGCAAUUUCGGCAAUAUAAUCAUUUUAAUCGAACAUGCAAGCUAAAGAAAUAAUGAGUGGAUCAGAAUUAAACAAUUCUUUUUGCAUUAUUCUUUUUCAUACUUUCAAAUUUUUUUUAUAUAAUUUGAGCAAACACGAACGUUGAAAGAAUGUUUAAAAUGUUGAUGACGACGCUGGAAUUCGAUCCAAGGGAAUAUGAUUUGUAAGGAAUCAUCGCUUUAUAUUGCGAUACGCGUAAUCCUUUUUUCAUUAUAUACUUCAACAUGUAUAUCUGUAUCCGAUAAGAUAGAUUUGUUGUACUUUUGUACUAUUUUAGAGCAGAUAUCGUUUUUGUAUUGAAGCGUCACGCAUAUCAAGAGUAAUCCCACUUUGAUUGCUUACCAUCCUUUAUUUUCUUAUUGAAUCACUUACGAUUUCUAUCGGGGUGUGAUUAAAACCAGAUCGCAUGGAAGCCAAUCAAGAGAGAGACGGAGAAAUAACGUCCUUGCGAUGUGCUGCUAACUAACUGAUAAGUUCGAUUUUGCCAAUAAUCAUUAAUCACUCUUUCAAUAAUAAAUUGCUCUCGGCCUUUUUCGAGUUUUAGUUAUUGUUAUUGAAGCGUUUCCUUCAAUAAAGGAUUAAUGAAUA